UUGUGGGGGUUAUAUACCCUAAAGGCAGCAAUCCCAGCUAAUCUUGGAAGCUAAGCAGGGUCAGCCCUGGUUCGUACUCAGAUAGGAGACUGCCAAUGAAUACUAGGUCUUGUAAGGC
rnacentral:rRNA from 1 species